CAGUCGCCGCGGUAAUACGUAGGUGGCAAGCGUUGUCCGGAAUUAUUGGGCGUAAAGGGCACGCAGGCGGUGACUUAAGUGAGGUGUGAAAGCCCCGGGCUUGACCUGGGAGGGUCAUCGGAAACUGGGAAACUUGAGUGCAGAAGAGGAGAGUGGAAUUCCACGUGUAGCGGUGAAAUGCGUAGAGAUAUGGAGGAACACCAGUGGCGAAGGCGACUCUCUGGUCUGUGACUGACGCUGAGGAGCGAAAGCGUGGGGAGCGAACAGGAUUAGAUACCCCCGUAGUCCCUGUCUCUUAUAC
rnacentral:rRNA from 1 species